rnacentral:rRNA from 1 species
GACGAACGCUGGCGGCGUGCCUAAUACAUGCAAGUUGAGCGCUGAAGGUUGGUACUUGUACCAACUGGAUGAGCAGCGAACGGGUGAGUAACGCGUGGGGAAUCUGCCUUUGAGCGGGGGACAGCAUUUGGAAACGAAUGCUAAUACCGCAUAAAAACUUUAAACACAAGUUUUAAGUUUGAAAGAUGCAAUUGCACCACUCAAAGAUGAUCCCGCGUUGUAUUAGCUAGUUGGUGAGGUAAAGGCUCACCAAGGCGAUGAUACAUAGCCGACCUGAGAGGGUGAUCGGCCACAUUGGGACUGAGACACGGCCCAAACUCCUACGGGAGGCAGCAGUAGGGAAUCUUCGGCAAUGGACGAAAGUCUGACCGAGCAACGCCGCGUGAGUGAAGAAGGUUUUCGGAUCGUAAAACUCUGUUGGUAGAGAAGAACGUUGGUGAGAGUGGAAAGCUCAUCAAGUGACGGUAACUACCCAGAAAGGGACGGCUAACUACGUG